GGCAAACGGGUGAGUAACACGUGGGUGACCUGCCUUCGAGUGGGGGAUAACGUCCCGAAAGGGACGCUAAUACCGCAUGACAUCCUGCCUUUGAACAGGUGGAGAUCAAAGCCGGGGUCGCAAGACCUGGCGCUUGAAGAGGGGCCCGCGUCCGAUUAGCUAGUUGGUGGGGUAAUGGCCUACCAAGGCGACGAUCGGUAGCCGGCCUGAGAGGGCGGACGGCCACACUGGGACUGAGACACGGCCCAGACUCCUACGGGAGGCAGCAGUGGGGAAUUGUUCGCAAUGGGCGCAAGCCUGACGACGCAACGCCGCGUGGAGGAUGAAGAUCUUCGGGUCGUAAACUCCUGUCGACCGGGACGAAUGCCGUGCGGGUGAACAAUCCGCGCGGGUGACGGUACCGGUGGAGGAAGCCCCGGCUAACUCCGUGCCAGCAGCCGCGGUAAUACGGGGGUGGCAAGCGUUGUUCGGAAUUACUGGGCGUAAAGGGCUCGUAGGCGGCCAACUCAGUCGGACGUGAAAUCCCUCGGCUUAACCGGGGAACUGCGUCCGAUACUGGAUGGCUUGAAUCUGAGAGAGGGAUGCGGAAUUCCAGGUGUAGCGGUGAAAUGCGUAGAUAUCUGGAGGAACACCGGUGGCGAAGGCGGCAUCCUGGAUCGGUAUUGACGCUGAGGAGCGAAAGCCAGGGGAGCAAACGGGAUUAGAUACCCCGGUAGUCC
rnacentral:rRNA from 1 species